rnacentral:rRNA from 1 species
UACGUAGGGGGCAAGCGUUAUCCGGAUUUACUGGGUGUAAAGGGAGCGUAGGCGGCUUGGCAAGUCUGGUGUGAAAGCCCAGGGCUCAACCCUGGGACUGCAUUGGAAACUGUCAGGCUAGAGUGCAGGAGAGGUAAGUGGAAUUCCUAGUGUAGCGGUGAAAUGCGUAGAUAUUAGGAGGAACACCAGUGGCGAAGGCGGCUUACUGGACUGUAACUGACGCUGAGGCUCGAAAGCGUGGGGAGCAAACAGG